rnacentral:rRNA from 1 species
UACGUAGGGGGCAAGCGUUGUCCGGAAUCAUUGGGCGUAAAGAGCGCGUAGGCGGCCCUGUAAGUCCGCUGUGAAAGUCAAGGGCUCAACCCUUGAAUGCCGGUGGAUACUGCAGGGCUAGAGUCCGGAAGAGGCGAGUGGAAUUCCUGGUGUAGCGGUGAAAUGCGUAGAUAUCAUUUGGAACGCCAAUGGUGAAAACAGGUAGCUGGGAGUGUGCUGACGCUGAGACACGAAAGCCAGGGGAGCGAACGGG